rnacentral:rRNA from 1 species
AGAGUUUGAUCCUGGCUCAGGAUGAACGCUGGCGGUCUGCUUAACACAUGCAAGUCGAACGCACCUUUCGGGGUGAGUGGCGGACGGGUGAGUAACGCGUGAGAAUUUACCAAAAGGACCGGGACAACCACUGGAAACGGUGGCUAAUACCGGAUGAGCCGAAAAGUAAAAAGGGAAACCUGCCUUUUGAAGAGCUCGCGUCUGAUUAGCUAGUUGGUGAGGUAAGAGCUCACCAAGGCAGCGAUCAGUAGCUGGUCUGAGAGGAUGACCAGCCACACUGGGACUGAGACACGGCCCAGACUCCUACGGGAGGCAGCAGUGGGGAAUUUUCCGCAAUGGGCGAAAGCCUGACGGAGCAAGACCGCGUGAGGGAGGAAGGCUCUUGGGUUGUAAACCUCUUUUGUCAGGGAAGAAGAAAGUGACGGUACCUGACGAAUCAGCAUCGGCUAACUCCGUGCCAGCAGCCGCGGUAAUACGGAGGAUGCAAGCGUUAUCCGGAAUUAUUGGGCGUAAAGCGUCCGCAGGUGGCACUUCAAGUCUGUCGUCAAAGACCGGGGCUUAACCCUGGAAAGGCGAUGGAAACUGAAAGGCUAGAGAGAGGUAGGGGUAGAGGGAAUUCCCAGUGUAGCGGUGAAAUGCGUAGAGAUUGGGAAGAACACCCGUGGCGAAAGCGCUCUACUGGACCUCAUCUGACACUCAGGGACGAAAGCUAGGGGAGCGAAUGGGAUUAGAUACCCUAGUAGUCC